GAUGAACGCUAGCGGCAGGCUUAAUACAUGCAAGUCGAGGGGCAGCAGGUCCCGCAGCAAUGCGGGAUGCUGGCGACCGGCAAACGGGUGCGGAACACGUACACAACCUUCCUUUAAGCGGGGAAUAGCCCGGGGAAACCCGGAUUAAUACUCCAUAGUAUAUUGAAAAGGCAUCUUUUUAAUAUUAAAGAUUUAUCACUUAAAGAUGGGUGUGCGGCUGAUUAGGUAGUUGGCGGGGAACGGCCCACCAAGCCUACGAUCAGUAACUGGUGUGAGAGCACGACCAGUCACACGGGCACUGAGACACGGGCCCGACUCCUACGGGAGGCAGCAGUAAGGAAUAUUGGUCAAUGGAACGAAAGUCUGAACCACGCCAUGCCGCGUGGAGGAU
rnacentral:rRNA from 1 species